rnacentral:tRNA from 1 species
UUCCCUGACCAGGGAUUGAACCUGGGCCCCCAGCAGUGAAAGUGCUGACUCCUAACCACUGGACCACCAGGGA